GACGUAGGGCGCGAGCGUUGUCCGGAUUUAUUGGGCGUAAAGAGCUCGGUAGGCGGCUUGUCGCGUCCGACUGGUGAAAUCCCGACGGCUUCAACUGCGGGUCUGCAGUCGAUAACGGGCAGGCUAGGAGUUCGGAUAGGGGAGACGUGGAAUUCCUGGUGUAGCGGUGAAAUGACGCAGAUAUCAGGAGGAACACCGGUGGCGAAGGCGGGACUCUGGGGCCGAAUACUGACGCUGGAGGAGCGAAAGCGUGGGAGCGAACAGG
rnacentral:rRNA from 1 species